CGUACUCUCUCUCUCUCUCUAGCCAAAAGAUUUUCACGCUUUCUCUCAGUCUCUCUCUCUCUCUCUCUCUCUCUCUCUCUCUCUCUAUGUUUAUUAGAUUUCAAGCCACAAAGCAAAACUUUUGAAAAUGUGAGUGAGAUUAUACACGAUCUCUAAGUUGGCAUAUAACUUUUGGGUUGAGAAUCUAAUGAACAUUUAUCAUAUUGUUUGAAGUUUAGUGCGCUAUUGAUGGAAAAUCAACCAAGUACCUGAAGGUAUUUUCGAAUUGAUGGAAAGCCACCCACCUACAAAGAUGAUCGUCUCACAUUAGAGAUUCACCACGACAGUAGAUUUUUUAGGUUGGGCAGUGGCAGUCGACAUUAUCAGAGAGGAGAAUUGGUUUGGAUUGAUGGAAAUGAUCCAGACACCACAUCAUGGCCAUGCAAAUGAAAAAGGUUCUCAAAAUGUUCAGCAAGAUGGCAAUGCAAAUGAUAAACAUAGAAUGCAGUUGCUCAGCAAUGUGGCAAUUCAAAUGGACAUAGUUAUGAAAAUGUUCAUGAUGAGGUGCAUCAUAAGAUUCUGUCUCAACAAUCACUUGUGGAAGCACCUUUUGUUUCAUCACAACCACUUCCAUCACCUCUAAAUUUCUCACAAGAAAUUCCUCUAGUUCAAAGAAGUUCUCAACAUAUUAGAUCAUUAUCAGCUUCCUUCUCCAUCAUUUACACUGAUCCUCUAACUGGGAGGCCAAAGAAACAAGUUGCAUUCAGAAAUCCUAAGAAUUCUAUGUCAACUGAGAAUGCAAGCAAGCCUAUUUGGAGACCUUAAAAGUGUUGUGUGUGUGUGUGUGUUUUUUUUUCUUUCUAAAAUCUUCAGGUUCUUUGAUCUAAAUAGGGCAUUUUGUGAUAACUCUUUGAACAAUUAGGAUUGAAUAUUUUCUGAAAAUUUGAUAGGUCAUUUUGGAACAGUAAUGGUUUAUGUUAGUAUGGAAUGCUUAUGUAAUUUGUAGUUGGGAUAUGUAGUUUUGAACUAUGUUAGCUUUACCGUUAUUCUAAGCAUUUACAUGACUA